UACAGAGGGGGCAAGCGUUGUCCGGAAUUACUGGGCGUACAGCGCGCGCAGGCGGUUGUCAACGUGCCGUGUGACAAGCGGGGGCUCAACCCCCGAGGGCCACGGUACACGGGGCGACUGGAGGCAGGGAGAGGGAUGUGGAAUGCCCGGUGGAGCGGUGAAAUGCGUAGAUAUCAUUUGGAACGCCAAUGGUGAAAACAGGUAGCUGGGGAUGUGCUGACGCUGAGACACGAAAGCCAGGGGAGCGAACGGG
rnacentral:rRNA from 1 species